rnacentral:rRNA from 1 species
GACGAACGCUGGCGGCGUGCUUAACACAUGCAAGUCGAAGAUAGUGGCGAACGGGUGAGUAAUACGGGGGUAACCUGCCCUCCGUUUUGGGAUACGCGUUGGAAACGGGGUCUAAUACCGAAUAGAGGGGGAUGGGCUCGCGGCCUAUCAGCUGGUUGGUGGGGUGAUGGCCUACCAAGGCGGUGACGGGUAGCCGGCCUGAGAGGGUGACCUGCGACAGUGGGACUGAGCAACGUCCCAGGCGCGUACGGGGGGGAGAAGUGGGGGCUAUUGAACAAUGGACGAUGGUCUGAUGCAGCGGCGUCGGGGGGGGGAUGAGGGCCUUAGGGUUGUAACCUCCUUGCGGCCGCGGAAUGGUAGUGGGUAAAGAAGCGCCGGCUAACUACGUGCCAGCAGCCGCGGUAAUAC